rnacentral:rRNA from 1 species
CAGCAGCCGCGGGAAUACAGAGGGUGCGAGCGUUAAUCGGAAUUACUGGGCGUAAAGUGCACGCAGGCGGUCUGUCAAGUCAGAUGUGAAAUCCCCGGGCUUAACCUGGGAACUGCAUUUGAAACUGGCAGGCUAGAGUCUUGUAGAGGGGGGUAGAAUUCCAGGUGUAGCGGUGAAAUGCGUAGAGAUCUGGAGGAAUACCGGUGGCGAAGGCGGCCCCCUGGACAAAGACUGACGCUCAGGUGCGAAAGCGUGGGGAGCAAACAGGAUUAGAUACCCCGGUAGUCCCUGUCUCUUAUAC